CAUUCUUCGGAGUGGCCUCGUUUCUAGGACGCUUGUCCGCUUCCCAAUACAAGUUCCACCUCGUGGACAUGACUUUUUAUUAUCUGGCCUCAAAUCAGGUAGGACUACCCGCUGAACUUAAGCAUAUCAAUAAGCGGAGGAAAAGAAACUAACAAGGAUUCCCCUAGUAACGGCGAGUGAAGCGGGAAAAGCUCAAAUUUGAAAUCUGGUAGCCUCAGGCUGCCCGAGUUGUAAUCUAUAGAAACGUUUUCCGCGUUGGCCCAUGUACAAGUCUCCUGGAAUGGAGCGUCAUAGAGGGUGAGAAUCCCGUCCUUGACAUGGACUACCAAUGCUUUGUGAUACGUUUUCAAAGAGUCGAGUUGUUUGGGAAUGCAGCUCAAAAUGGGUGGUAAAUUCCAUCUAAAGCUAAAUAUUGGCGAGAGACCGAUAGCGAACAAGUACCGUGAGGGAAAGAUGAAAAGCACUUUGGAAAGAGAGUUAAACAGUAUGUGAAAUUGUUGAAAGGGAAACGAUUGAAGUCAGUCAUGUCUAUUGGACUCAGCCGGUUCUGCCGGUGUACUUCCUUUAGAUGGGGUCAACAUCAGUUUUGAUCGCUGGAAAAGGGCAGGAGGAAUGUAGCACUCUCGGGUGAACUUAUAGCCUUCUGUCGUAUACAGUGGUUGGGACUGAGGAACGCAGCAUGCCUUUAUG
rnacentral:rRNA from 1 species